AUUAGUGGCGGACGGGUGAGUAACGCGUAGGGAUUUAUCGUUGGGUGGGGGACAACCCUGGGAAACUGGGGCUAAUACCGCAUGACGCCUGUGGGCCAAAGUCGCGAGGCGCCUGACGAGAAGCCUGCGUCCGAUUAGCUAGUUGGUGGGGUAAAGGCUUACCAAGGCAUCGAUCGGUAGCUGGUCUGAGAGGAUGAUCAGCCACACUGGGACUGAGACACGGCCCAG
rnacentral:rRNA from 1 species